GAGUGGCUGCCAAUGAAAUAGGGUGGAGUAGAAUGGAGUGAAGAAACAGUAAUAUUUACCAAUACUCUCCUUGUCGUAGAAGUGAUAAUUUCCCUGCAUCAUGCUCUGGUACAUCUAAGCUGAAGUAAUGAUGAUCAUGAGGAAAUGUAGAGGAAGAAUAAUUGCCUGGAACCAUUCCUACUGUUUCAGCUUGCAACCAAAAACCUGAAAACCAAAAUUAAAAGACAUACCUUGACUUCAGAA